UACGUAGGUGGCAAGCGUUGUCCGGAUUUACUGGGCGUAAAGAGCGCGCAGGCGGUCGUCCAAGUCGCGUGUGAAAGCCCCCGGCUCCAACUGGGGAGGGUCACGGCGAUACUGGUCGACUCGAAGGCAGGAGAGGGUAGUGGAAUUCCCGGUGUAGUGGUGAAAUGCGUAGAUAUCGGGAGGAACACCAGUGGCGAAGGCGGCUAUCUGGACGGUUUCUGACGCUAAGACGCGAAAGCGUGGGGAGCAAACAGG
rnacentral:rRNA from 1 species